AAAAAGACAAACCCUAGGUUUUCGUGUCCAACUUUGACUGUCCGUCUUAUAUGAAAUUUUUUUAUAAUUCGUAUUUUCAUUGUUAUUAGAUGAUAAAAUAUGAUUAAUAUUUUAUGCGUGACUUGUCUUUUUAAUUUUUUUUAUAAUUUUUUCAAAUAAGACGAACGGUCAAACAUUGGACACGGAAACCAGGGUUUGUCUUUUU
rnacentral:pre_miRNA from 1 species